ACAACUUUGAAUGAAGGGAAAUGCCCAAGAUGUCCUGAUCUGACUAAUUAGUUUUAUUCUUUCGGGCUUGCUAAGCAUUUCUAAAGCAUUAGACUAACAGAUUCCUGUGAAGUUCUGUGCAUAUGUCCCAGCCUCAACAUCUAUCAAAGUCUGGAAACAGAUGUUUUCAGUGCUGCUGAGAGAAACAAAAAAUUUCCUAAUGCAUCUGAGAGAUAAGCUUCGGCAGUAUUACAAGAAGAUUAAAGUGGCAGACACCCCUUCCAGCGGAAGUUACUAAUUCGGACCUGACUGAUGCAGUUCCCAUAGCAACCCAUGUUUCCUGGGAAACCCGAAAAAGGUUGUCAUGGCAUCUCUUGCUCUCUAGCCCCACCUUCCAGUCCCUGCUGUUUCCACAGUAACCUUUCCAGAUGGUUCCUACUUAAAUGAUUUCAUAAAGGAAAACCACUGUUUGAAUAAACUGCAAAAAUAAAGUUAAGUCUGAGACUCUAAGGAGGUGAAAUGAAUCCCAAAUGCAUUUUUUAACUAUGAAAAUCAUUGAUGUCAUUCCAUAAUGACUGAAUCAAGAAGGAAAAUAUGGUAUUUGGAAUGUUACAUAUUAACCACAAUAAGGCAUGAUCUGGAUUAAGUGCCAUUUAUUAGGCAAUAAUUUUUAAAGAUGCUUCUCUACAGUUUUCUUUCUCCAAGAAUUUUCAAGCCAACAAAUGGAAUUUAAAAGCAAAUGUAAAAGUGUUCUGUACAUAAGCAAAUGAGAGAUACAAUCAAUGUACCUGAAACCUUACAACAAAGGAUCUUCAGGCUUUCUCUUUAAAAAAAAAAAAAAAAAAAAAAAUACAGAUCCCACAACAGCUCUGUCAUCAUCACAGCACUUGACAAGCCAAGUAAACUUCAAAUAGAUGAAGGAUGCACGUUUUAAACUGAAUGAAUUGCAGACAAUCAAUAAAAAGGAGGGACAGGAAGUAACCAGCUCUUGGGAGAACACCUGCAGCUUUCAGCCAUAUGCCAAGGGUUGCCAGAAGACAGACAGAAUCAGAUCCCUGAAGAGACCCCCACAUAAAGAACUGUAGAGCUGCACUGACCAGUAGGAUGCUCCAUUUUAAAUUGCCUGGAUCAAGAAUGCAGUGGCAAUUAUAUCACUGAUGGGCAAUGAUCCACCUGACAGCAUAUAUUUUUAUUUCAGUUGACAUUAAAUAAUAUGUCUCUAACAAAUGCUUUAUAUAAAGGGAACAACUCUGACGUCGGAGGAUUUGCUUCAUAUUGUGUGCCAUAUAAAAGACAUUUGAUCAAUAGAUGAAGAAUCUUGAAAAUAUUAAGGUAUUAUUGCAACCUUUCGACAUUUUGAUGAAAUCAAAUCAUCCAAAAACUAUAAUCAGUGCUGCAGAUAAAGAAAGCCUA
rnacentral:lncRNA from 1 species